rnacentral:rRNA from 1 species
ACGAGCGGCGAACGGGUGAGUAACACGUGAGCAAUCUGCCCUUCUCUUCGGAAUAACCAUUGGAAACGAUGGCUAAUGCCGAAUACGACCUCCUUUCGCAUGAUCGGAGGUGGAAAGCUCCGGCGGAGAAGGAUGAGCUCGCGGCCUAUCAGCUAGUUGGCGGGGUAACGGCCCACCAAGGCGACGACGGGUAGCCGGCCUGAGAGGGUGACCGGCCACACUGGGACUGAGACACGGCCCAGACUCCUACGGGAGGCAGCAGUGGGGAAUAUUGGACAAUGGGCGAAAGCCUGAUCCAGCAACGCCGCGUGAGGGAUGACGGCCUUCGGGUUGUAAACCUCUUUCAGCAGGGACGAAGCGAAAGUGACGGUACCUGCAGAAGAAGGACCGGCCAACUACGUGCCAGCAGCCGCGGUAAUACGUAGGGUCCGAGCGUUGUCCGGAAUUAUUGGGCGUAAAGGGCUCGUAGGCGGUUUGUCGCGUCGGGAGUGAAAACUCAGGGCUCA